CCUACGGGUGGCAGCAGUGAGGAAUAUUGGUCAAUGGGCUAAAGCCUGAACCAGCCAAGCCGCGUGAGGGAAGAAGGUCCUAUGGAUCGUAAACCUCUUUUGUCGGGGAGCAACGAGGCUACGUUUUGCCGGAGUGAGUGUACCCGAAGAAAAAGCAUCGGCUAACUCCGUGCCAGCAGCCGCGGUAAUACGGGGGAUUCGAGCGUUAUCCGUAUUUAUUGGGGUUAAAGGGGGCGUAGGCGGAACAUUAAGUCAGCGGUAAAAGCGCGGGGCUAAACCCCUUAAAGCCGUUGAAACUGGUGAUCUUGAGUGGGAGAGAAGUAUGCGGAAUGCGCGGUGUAGCGGUGAAAUGCAUAGAUA
rnacentral:rRNA from 1 species